rnacentral:lncRNA from 1 species
AUUUAGAAGAUAGAUUCAAGGACUUUCUCUUUGUGAAUUCUAGUCUUGAAUUCCUGUCAGUCAUCACCGGAAGAAGUGCUGUAAUCCAAGACAAAUGUGUGGCAGGUAAUUCCCGGCUGCUACUUGGACUGACAUGAUGUCUGCUGCUGAAGUGAAUUGUUCUAUGAUUGUGCCUGUGCCAGUCUGGGAACAGCAUAAAGGCAGAAAAGCAUCUGCUUCUGACACCAGGACUCCUGAGCGCAGUGAAUCUGUGUUGCCAUGCAGGAGUCAAAAGGGGUUAACGACAAACCUUUUAUCACCAAUGAGUAAAGAAAUUCCUCAAAAUCUAAGCCUUGCUCUCUGCGAUUCUUCUCAUCUGUGUUUCUUCCUGUUAUAUUCAAAGGUCUGCAAGAGAGACUAUGGGGUCAUUGAACACAUCUGGACAGAUUGCUGAUGUGUAGAAACCUGCAUGGAGAAGAGAGUAGGACAGCUGUAAGAGAAAUCUGUGUUCCUGAGCACUCCUGAAGCUGCUCUUUGAGAGAAAUGUAGACUUACUCAUAGACUUGAGGCCCAGAAUAUAUCAG